GACGAACGCUGGCGGCGUGCUUAACACAUGCAAGUCGAACGGAAAGGCCCUGCUUUUGUGGGGUGCUCGAGUGGCGAACGGGUGAGUAACACGUGAGUAACCUGCCCUUGACUUUGGGAUAACUUCAGGAAACUGGGGCUAAUACCGGAUAGGAGCUCCUGCUGCAUGGUGGGGGUUGGAAAGUUUCGGCGGUUGGGGAUGGACUCGCGGCUUAUCAGCUUGUUGGUGGGGUAGUGGCUUACCAAGGCUUUGACGGGUAGCCGGCCUGGGAGGGUGACCGGCCACAUUGGGACUGAGAGACGGCCCAGACUCCUACGGGAGGCAGCAGUCGGGAAUAUUGCACAAUGGGCGGAAGCCUGAUGCAGCAACGCCGCGUGCGGGAUGACGGCCUUCGGGUUGUAAACCGCUUUCGCCUGUGACGAAGCGCGAGUGACGGUAAUGGGUAAAGAAGCACCGGCUAACUACGUG
rnacentral:rRNA from 1 species